rnacentral:lncRNA from 1 species
GCCUGGUCCAGCUAGGGUUAACCCAUUUUUUUCAUAAACAUAGCAGUUUCAGAGAAACUGCUAUGUUUAUGAAUGGGUUAAGCCUUCCCCUAUUUCCUCUAGUGGCUGUCUCAUUGACAGCCACUAGAGGCGCUUGCGUGCUUCUCACUGUGAUUUUCACAGUGAGAGCACGCCAGCGUCCAUAGGAAAGCAUUAUGAAUGCUUUCCUAUGUGACCGG